AUAUUGCACAAUGGGCGACAGCCUGACGCAGCGACGCCGCGUGGGGGAUGAAGGUCUUCGGAUUGUAAACCCCUUUCGGCAGGGAAGAUGGAACGGGCAACCGUUCGGACGGUACCUGCAGAAGCAGCCACGGCUAACUUCGUGCCAGCAGCCGCGGUAAUACGAAGGUGGCAAGCGUUGUUCGGAUUUACUGGGCGUACAGGGAGCGUAGGCGGUCGGGUAAGCCCUCCGUGAAAUCUCCGGGCCUAACCCGGAAAGUGCGGAGGGGACUGCUCGGCUAGAGGAUGGGAGAGGAGCGCGGAAUUCCCGGUGUAGCGGUGAAAUGCGUAGAGAUCGGGAGGAAGGCCGGUGGCGAAGGCGGCGCUCUGGAACAUUUCUGACGCUGAGGCUCGAAAGCGUGGGGAGCAAACAG
rnacentral:rRNA from 1 species